rnacentral:rRNA from 1 species
GUACACGCUGUGACUAGCAUAUCAAUAAGCGGAGGAAAAGAAACUAACAAGGAUUCCCCUAGUAACGGCGAGUGAAGCGGGAAGAGCUCAAAUUUGAAAUCUUAAAGGGUUUCCCUUUACGAAUUGUAGUUUAAAGAAGUGUUUUCUGUUGAGGUUUUGGUAAAAGUUCUUUGGAAUAGGACAUCAUAGAGGGUGAGAAUCCCGUAUUUGACCUUUACUUUCAACUUUGUGAUACACUUUCAAAGAGUCGGAUUGUUUGGGAAUGCAGUCCAAAAUGGGUGGUAAAUUUCAUCUAAAGCUAAAUAUUGGCGAGAGACCGAUAGCGAACAAGUACCGUGAGGGAAAGAUGAAAAGAACCUUGAAAAGAGAGUUAAACAGUACGUGAAAUUGUCAAAAGGGAAGCGUUUGACACCAGUGUUGUUUUUCUGAAAAUCAAUUAAAGAACUGUUUAUGCUAAGCUGUUUAGACUUUAUCAGCUAUCUGUUUAGUUUUGAGCUUUUCUUUAAUGCACUUUUCAGUUAACAAGUCAACAUCAAUUUCUUUUGCUGUAAAAAAGCUUGAGGAAGGUGGCUUGAGAUUCGUCUUAAGUGUUUAUAGCCUCUUGCCUAUGCAGUCGGAGAGAUUGAGGUCUGCAGCGUAGAUCCUUCGGGGCUAAAUGCAUUUGUGCUAAGUUAUAGCAUUUUAUAGACAACUUGUUGACUAUGAUUUGUCUUGUAGCUUACUCGCUUAUGUUAUUUUACCUACGCUUAGGAUGUUGACUGAUAUGUAGUCGUA